rnacentral:rRNA from 1 species
AAAAACAUUUCUAAUAGAAAAUAAUUAUUAGUAAAACUCUGCACAAUGAACUUUAAAUUGCCGCAAUCUACGUGCAAAGGUAGCAUAAUCAUUUGCCUCCUAAUUAGAGGCUAGAAUGAAAGGUUUAACACUUUAAAUUCUGUAAUCUUUUGAAUCUUUGAAAUUUAAAUAUAAAUAAAAAUAUUUAUUCUUUUAGGGGGACGACAAGACCCUAUUGAACUUUACAUUUUUGUUUUUCUGGGGAGGAAAAAAAACUAAAUCUUUCUUUCUUUUUUCAAAAAAACAAAAAAACCUUAAUUAUAAACAAGUUACCACAGGGAUAACAGCACAAUUUUUUCUUAUAGACCGUAUUUAAGAAAAAGUUUAUGACCUCGAUGUUGAAUUAUUUUUCUUUUAUGAAGCAAAAAUCUAAAAAGAAAGUCUGUUCGACUUUUAAAUAUUUACAUGAUCUGAGUUCAAA